rnacentral:tRNA from 1 species
GAGAGGUAAACCGUAACUGGAAGCGGGCCAGACUGUAAAUCUGGUGUCUACGGACUCUGGCGGUUCAAGUCCGCCCCUCUC